rnacentral:rRNA from 1 species
UACGGAGGGGGCAAGCGUUGUUCGGAGUCACUGGGCGUAAAGGGCGCGUAGGCGGUGCGUAAAGUCAGGCGUGAAAGCCCCGGGCUUAACCUGGGAAUUGCGCUUGAUACUGACGUGCUAGAGAACGGGAGAGGAUGGCGGAAUUCCCAGUGUAGAGGUGAAAUUCGUAGAUAUUGGGAAGAACACCGGUGGCGAAGGCGGCCAUCUGGACCGUUUCUGACGCUGAGGCGCGAAAGCGUGGGGAGCGAACAGG